UCCCUGGUGGUCCAGUGGCUAAGACCUUGUGUUCCUAAUGCAGGAGGUCCAAGUUCAAUCCCUGGCCAGGGAA
rnacentral:tRNA from 1 species